ACGGGUGAGUAACACGUGGGUGAUCUGCCCUGCACUUUGGGAUAAGCCUGGGAAACUGGGUCUAAUACCGAAUAUGAUCACGGGCUUCAUGGUCUGUGGUGGAAAGCUUUUGCGGUGUGGGAUGGGCCCGCGGCCUAUCAGCUUGUUGGUGGGGUAAUGGCCUACCAAGGCGACGACGGGUAGCCGGCCUGAGAGGGUGUCCGGCCACACUGGGACUGAGAUACGGCCCAGACUCCUACGGGAGGCUGCAGUGGGGAAUAUUGCACAAUGGGCGCAAGCCUGAUGCAGCGACGCCGCGUGAGGGAUGACGGCCUUCGGGUUGUAAACCUCUUUCAGCAGGGACGAAGCGCAAGUGACGGUACCUGUAGAAGAAGCACCGGCCAACUACGUGCCAGCAGCCGCGGUAAUACGUAGGGUGCGAGCGUUGUCCGGAAUUACUGGGCGUAAAGAGCUCGUAGGUGGUUUGUCGCGUUGUUCGUGAAAACUCACAGCUUAACUGUGGGCGUGCGGGCGAUACGGGCAGACUGGAGUACUGCAGGGGAGACUGGAAUUCCUGGUGUAGCGGUGGAAUGCGCAGA
rnacentral:rRNA from 1 species